GCAUUUAUGGCAGAGUGGACGAUAGCACGGGACUCAUAAUCCCGCUCAAUAUGACAUCACUGGUUCGAAUCCAGUUAAAUGCA
rnacentral:tRNA from 1 species